rnacentral:rRNA from 1 species
AGUGAACGCUGGCGGUAGGCCUAACACAUGCAAGUCGAACGGCAGCACAGUAAGAGCUUGCUCUUACGGGUGGCGAGUGGCGGACGGGUGAGGAAUACAUCGGAAUCUACUUUUUCGUGGGGGAUAACGUAGGGAAACUUACGCUAAUACCGCAUACGACCUACGGGUGAAAGCAGGGGAUCUUCGGACCUUGCGCGAUUGAAUGAGCCGAUGUCGGAUUAGCUAGUUGGCGGGGUAAAGGCCCACCAAGGCGACGAUCCGUAGCUGGUCUGAGAGGAUGAUCAGCCACACUGGAACUGAGACACGGUCCAGACUCCUACGGGAGGCAGCAGUGGGGAAUAUUGGACAAUGGGCGCAAGCCUGAUCCAGCCAUACCGCGUGGGUGAAGAAGGCCUGCGGGUUGUAAAGCCCUUUUGUUGGGAAAGAAAAGCAGCAGGUUAAGACCCCGCUGUUCUGACGGUACCCAAAGAAUAAGCACCGGCUAACUUCGG